AUGCAAGAAAUGCGAGGAAACUUCCCCUAAUUGCCCGGUGUGCAGUGGCUGAGGACAGCAGCCUCCUUGGUAGUGUGCGUGGCCUGUUGCCUGCACGGGUUGCCCUAAGGGACCUUGCAGACAGCC
rnacentral:snoRNA from 1 species